rnacentral:misc_RNA from 1 species
CCGAGGUAGAAGAGUCUGAGGAUUAGCUGGGACAUCCGAACUUUCCUGCCAAGUAUAGUUCCAUUUCAGUGAUAAUGCCACGAUGUUUCCUCCCUAGUCAUUGUGCCACAUUCUUUUUUUAUUUUUUAAGUCUUUAAUGAACUUCCUAUAACAGUGUUGCACAAUAUGUUGGCUAUCUAUCCUUCUUCCAAUCUGAAUACUCAGCCUUACCUCUAAGUAUCUUGUUAGUAUU